rnacentral:rRNA from 1 species
UACAGAGGUCUCAAGCGUUGUUCGGAUUCAUUGGGCGUAAAGGGCGCGUAGGCGGGAUGGCAAGUCGGUCGUGAAAUCCUUCGGCUCAACCGAAGAACGUCGAUCGAUACUGCUGUUCUUGAGGGUUGCAGAGGAGACUGGAAUUCCCGGUGUAGCGGUGAAAUGCGUAGAUAUCGUAAGGAAGACCAGUGGCGAAGGCGGGUCUCUGGACAGUUCCUGACGCUGAGGCACGAAGGCCAGGGGAGCAAACGGG